AGGUGUAGUGGUGGGCGCCUGUAAUCCCAACUACUUGGGAGGCUGAGGCAGCAGAAUCGCUUGAACCCGGGAGGCGGAGGUUGCAGUGA
ensembl:miRNA